rnacentral:rRNA from 1 species
CCUACGGGGGGCAGCAGUGGGGAAUAUUGGGCAAUGGGCGCAAGCCUGACCCAGCAACGCCGCGUGAAGGAAGAAGGCUUUCGGGUUGUAAACUUCUUUCAAGAGGGAUGAGCAGAAGACGGUACCUCUUGAAUAAGCCACGGCUAACUACGUGCCAGCAGCCGCGGUAAUACGUAGGUGGCAAGCGUUGUCCGGAUUUACUGGGUGUAAAGGGCGUGCAGCCGGGAAGACAAGUCAGAUGUGAAAUCCCUGGGCUCAACCGAGGAACUGCAUUUGAAACUGUUUUUCUUGAGUACCGGAGAGGUAAUCGGAAUUCCCGGUGUAGCGGUGAAAUGCGUAGAGAUAGGGAGGAACACCAGUGGCGAAGGCGGAUGACUGGACGGCAACUGACGGUGAGGCGCGAAAGCGUGGGGAGCAAACAGGAUUAGAUACCCUUGUAGUC